UACGAGGGGGGCAAGCGUUGUUCGGAAUUAUUGGGCGUAAAGGGCGCGUAGGCGGUGCGGUAAGUCUGUAGUGAAAUCUCUGGGCUCAACUCAGAGUCUGCUGCAGAAACUGCCGUGCUUGAGUGUGGGAGAGGUGAGUGGAAUUCCCGGUGUAGCGGUGAAAAUGCGUAGAUAUCGGGAGGAACACCUGUGGCGAAAGCGGCUCACUGGACCACAACUGACGCUGAGGCGCGAAAGCUAGGGGAGCAAACAGG
rnacentral:rRNA from 1 species